CCUCGAGGGAAGGCGUGGAUGAUUGAUUGACAAGCCCCGGGGUCCCAGAUAUUUCUUGUCUCGUUGAGACUGCAGCCCAGAGUUGGGCUGUCUCGUCUGUUUUGGGUUGGGUGAGCUGGGAUCAUGAUUUUCUCCCUCUGUGCCCGGAAAUCAUGGAAACAGCCAUCCUUCGCCUCUUUCUGUUUCAUAUUUUAUAGGCUGGAACUUAAAAUCCUCGUCCCUAGCGCAGUGGAAAGCUUUGAAGACCGUGGUUCUGGGAAUCAGUGUUGCCCCUGGGGGGAUAAAUGACCUUGGGAAGGUCACUUUCUUUUACCUAGCCUGGUAAAUGAGCUUUAGGAGGACCCUGUUGCCUGGCUCAGAUGGUGGAACGUACAGUAAAGCUGAACACCGACAUCAGAGCUCCUUAAAGGGUGCCAGUGGCAUGCCUCCUGUCCCACACAACCCACAGCGUGACAUCAGGGCCUGGGGUGAUGGCCAGGAGGCAGCCCAGUCUGAGAAGAGUGGUGCCCACUGCUGGCCUCAGACCAGGCCAACUCUUCCAAAGAAGAGUCUGGGAUCUUUCCCCUUUCUCCGCGGUUUAUACUUGGAGCUCCAG